rnacentral:rRNA from 2 species
CAUGCAUGUCUAAGUACACACGAAUUAAAAGUGAAACCGCAAAAGGCUCAUUAUAUCAGUUAUGGUUCAUUAGACCGUUAACAGUUACUUGGAUAACUGUGGUAAUUCUAGAGCUAAUACAUGCAAUAUAAACACGGACCUUUUGGAACGUGUGCUCUUAUUAGGCUAAAACCAAGCGAUUUUUUCGGAAAUCGUUAAUAUGGUUGAACUCUAGAUAAUUUGCCGAUCGUAUGGUCUCGUACCGACGACAGGUCUUUCAAAUGUCUGCCCUAUCAACUAUUGAUGGUAGUAUCUAGGACUACCAUGGUUGCAACGGGUAACGGGGAAUCAGGGUUCGAUUCCGGAGAGGGAGCCUGAGAAACGGCUACCACAUCUAAGGAAGGCA